rnacentral:rRNA from 1 species
CAAUAGCGUAUAUUUAAGUUGCUGCAGUUAGAAAGCUCGUAGUUGGAUUUCGGGUGGGAAUGGCCGGUCCGCCGUUUCGGUGUGCACUUGCUACGCCCACCUUGCUGCCGGGGACGUGCUCUUGAGUUCACGCUCGGGACACGGAGUCGGCGAGGUUACUUUGAGUAAAUUAGAGUGUUCAAAGCAGGCCUACGCUCUGAAUACAUUAGCAUGGAAUAACACGAUAGGACUCUGGCCUAUCUUGUUGGUCUGUAGGACCGGAGUAAUGAUUAAGAGGGACAGUCGGGGGCAUUCGUAUUUCAUUGUCAGAGGUGAAAUUCUUGGAUUUAUGGAAGACGAACUACUGCGAAAGCAUUUGCCAAGGAUGUUUUCAUUAA